rnacentral:rRNA from 1 species
GCCCGCUUCUGGGCAGGUUACCUACGUGUUACUCACCCGUCCGCCACUCGUUGGCGACCAAAAUCAAUCAGGUGCAAGCACCAUCAAUCAAUUGGGCCAACGCGUUCGACUUGCAUGUAUUAGGCACACCGCCGGCGUUCAUCCUGAGCCAUGAUCAAACUCUGAA